GACGAACUGUCCUAACGUUGUUCGGAAUCACUGGGCUUAAAGGGCGCGUAGGCGGUCGACCAAGUCAGGGGUGAAAUCCUGCAGCUUAACUGUAGAAGUGCCUUUGAUACUGACAGUCUCGAGGGAGGUAGGGGCGUGCGGAACUUCCGGUGGAGCGGUGAAAUGCGUAGAUAUCGGAAGGAACGCCGGUGGCGAAAGCGGCGCGCUGGACCUCUUCUGACGCUGAGGCGCGAAAGCUAGGGGAGCAAACGGG
rnacentral:rRNA from 1 species